rnacentral:rRNA from 1 species
UACCAGACUCCUACGGGAGGCAGCAGUGGGGAAUAUUGCACAAUGGGGGGAACCCUGAUGCAGCAAUGCCGCGUGGGUGAAGAAGCACUCCGGUGCGUAAAGCCCUGUCAGCAGGGAAGAAAAUGACAGUACCUGGACAAGAAGCCCCGGCUAACUACGUGCCAGCAGCCGCGGUAAUACGUAGGGGGCAAGCGUUAUCCGGAUUUACUGGGUGUAAAGGGAGCGUAGACGGUGCAGCAAGUCUGAUGUGAAAGGUCGGGGCCCAACCCCGGGACUGCAUUGGAAACUGUUGAACUGGAGUACAGGAGAGGUAAGCGGAAUUCCUAGUGUAGCGGUGAAAUGCGUAGAUAUUAGGAGGAACACCAGUGGCGAAGGCGGCUUACUGGACUGUAACUGACGUUGAGGCUCGAAAGCGUGGGGAGCAAACAGGAUUAGAUACCCUAGUA